rnacentral:rRNA from 1 species
GACGAACGCUGGCGGCGUGCUUAACACAUGCCAGUCGAACGAAGAGCGAUGGAAGCUUGCUUCUAUCAAUCUUAGUGGCGAACGGGUGAGUAACGCGUAAUCAACCUGCCCUUCAGAGGGGGACAACAGUUGGAAACGACUGCUAAUACCGCAUACGAUCUAAUCUCGGCAUCGAGGAUAGAUGAAAGGUGGCCUCUACAUGUAAGCUAUCACUGAAGGAGGGGAUUGCGUCUGAUUAGCUAGUUGGAGGGGUAACGGCCCACCAAGGCGAUGAUCAGUAGCCGGUCUGAGAGGAUGAACGGCCACAGUGGGACUGAGACACGGCCCAGACUCCUACGGGAGGCAGCAGUGGGGAAUCUUCCGCAAUGGACGAAAGUCUGACGGAGCAACGCCGCGUGAGUGAUGACGGCCUUCGGGUUGUAAAGCUCUGUUAAUCGGGACGAAAGGCCUUCUUGCGAAUAGUGAGAAGGAUUGACGGUACCGGAAUAGAAAGCCACGGCUAACUACGCG